AUUGUAAGUUAAAGCAAAUAAGUAAAAUUAUAAAUUAUAAACCACUUCCAGAGAUCAGGAGUGCUAGAAUGGUGGUGUAAAGAACUCAAAGAAUCCCUCCCUCAAAGGCAUAUUGAUUGAACUCAUCAAAAUAAGCUAAGACAACAAUUUAAAACCUCUGAAAUUUGACCUAAGGGUUUGCAAGAAAUGGAGAAGCAUUUAUUCAGUGAGAGACUGUGGCAUUUGAAUCAUGAACUGCAUCCAUUACCCCUAGAGCUCCAUGUUGCCCAAGAACUGUUUCAGGCAGGUUUGAUAGUUUUCUAUUGCUCAAGAUCUACUCUAGGUGGGCAGGAUAGCCCUAGAAAACAGUAGCACUCAUCCACCUGCUCUUGGUUUAGUAUGCUGGAAAAGUUUUACCAGGUGGGCAGCUGCAGCUGCUUGGUAGUACCUAUUCCCACUCCCAAAUGUCCUGUUCUACAGGAAGAAUUCUUGGCAGGGCAAACAAGAAAGUUCCUGCUCAGUAACGGAGAAGGCUGGAGGCUGGGCACGUUGUGAAUAUUAACAGCUCUGCAGCCCUACCUUUGGUUUUAUUAGGAACAUAGUUUACAAUAUCCAUGGACCAGAGCAUUAUCAAAAAUAAUAAAUAUAACAAGAGGUAAAAGAGGAAGCUAAUAUCUUUGUGAUGUCAGUAAAGGCGGACCAGCAGAAAUAUAACAGAGAACUCAAGGAGAGAGAUGGUCAAAAAAGCCCCACUAAAAUUUACUCAAUAAUGGUGAACCAAGAAGCUAUGGAAAAGCCAGAGGCAUGACCAGAGAAGGUUUUCUACUCUACCAGUCCCUGUGUUAAAGUGAGGCAGAUAGGUACACUCCCUGAACUUUCAGGGUGGUCCCCAAGCCACAUGGAAAAGGAUGAAAACCUUACAGGCUCAGGGAACUUAAGCACAACCCCUGACCAAUCAGUACCUAGCCACUAGGCUAUAGUAAUCCAGCAGCAGCUCCCAGAAAGUCAAGCUUAAAAAUAAUAAGGAAAAAACAUUUGAGCAGGAAUAUCAGAGACUGCAUACUAGGGAAGAAACACAAUUUACAGAAUUAGUUUGGCCAAAUGACUGAACAAGUGAACAUAUGAACAAUAACAAAAGCAAAAUGUCAAUACAACAAACCUAGGAGGAUCAG
rnacentral:lncRNA from 1 species